GACGAACGCUGGCGGCGUGCUUAACACAUGCAAGUCGAACGGAAAGGCCCUGCUUUUGUGGGGUGCUCGAGUGGCGAACGGGUGAGUAACACGUGAGUAACCUGCCCUUGACUUUGGGAUAACUUCAGGAAACUGGGGCUAAUACCGGAUAGGAGCUCCUGCUGCAUGGUGGGGGUUGGAAAGUUUCGGCGGUUGGGGAUGGACUCGCGGCUUAUCAGCUUGUUGGUGGGGUAGUGGCUUACCAAGGCUUUGACGGGUAGCCGGCCUGAGAGGGUGACCGGCCGCAUUGGGACUGAGAUACGGCACAGACUCCUACGGGAGGCAGCAGUGGGGAAUAUUGCACAAUGGGCGGAAGCCUGAUGCAGCAACGCCGCGUGCGGGAUGACGGCCUUCGGGUUGUAAACCGCUUUCGCCUGUGACGAAGCGUGAGUGACGGUAAUGGGUAAAGAAGCACCGGCUAACUACGUG
rnacentral:rRNA from 1 species